rnacentral:rRNA from 1 species
GCGUGAGUGAAGAAGGCCUUAGGGUUGUAAAACUCUUUUAGCGGGGAAGAUAAUGACGGUACCCGCAGAAUAAGCCCCGGCUAACUUCGUGCCAGCAGCCGCGGUAAUACGAAGGGGGCUAGCGUUGUUCGGAAUUACUGGGCGUAAAGCGCACGCAGGCGGACUGAUCAGUCAGGGGUGAAAUCCCGGGGCUUAACCCCGGAACUGCCUUUGAUACUGUCAGUCUCGAGUCCGGGAGAGGUGAGUGGAAUUCCUAGUGUAGAGGUGAAAUUCGU